GACGAACGCUGGCGGCGUGCCUAAUACAUGCAAGUAGAACGCUGAAGGAGGAGCUUGCUCUUCUGGAUGAGUUGCGAACGGGUGAGUAACGCGUAGGUAACCUGCCUGGUAGCGGGGGAUAACUAUUGGAAACGAUAGCUAAUACCGCAUAACAGUAGAUGUUGCAUGACAUUUGCUUAAAAGGUGCAAUUGCACCACUACCAGAUGGACCUGCGUUGUAUUAGCUAGUUGGUGGGGUAACGGCUCACCAAGGCGACGAUACAUAGCCGACCUGAGAGGGUGAUCGGCCACACUGGGACUGAGACACGGCCCAGACUCCUACGGGAGGCAGCAGUAGGGAAUCUUCGGCAAUGGACGGAAGUCUGACCGAGCAACGCCGCGUGAGUGAAGAAGGUUGUCGGAUCGUAAAGCUCGGUUGUAAGAGAAGAACGAGUGUGAGAGUGGAAAGUUCACACUGUGACGGUAUCUUACCAGAAAGGGACGGCUAACUACGUG
rnacentral:rRNA from 1 species